rnacentral:rRNA from 1 species
AUUGAACGCUGGCGGCAGGCCUAACACAUGCAAGUCGAGCGGAUGAAGGGAGCUUGCUCCUGGAUUCAGCGGCGGACGGGUGAGUAAUGCCUAGGAAUCUGCCUGGUAGUGGGGGAUAACGUCCGGAAACGGGCGCUAAUACCGCAUACGUCCUGAGGGAGAAAGUGGGGGAUCUUCGGACCUCACGCUCUCAGAUGAGCCUAGGUCGGAUUAGCUAGUUGGUGGGGUAAAGGCCUACCAAGGCGACGAUCCGUAACUGGUCUGAGAGGAUGAUCAGUCACACUGGAACUGAGACACGGUCCAGACUCCUACGGGAGGCAGCAGUGGGGAAUAUUGGGCAAUGGGCGAAAGCCUGAUCCAGCCAUGCCGCGUGUGUGAAGAAGGUCUUCGGAUUGUAAAGCACUUUAAGUUGGGAGGAAGGGCAGUAAGUUAAUACCUUGCUGUUUUGACGGUACCAACAGAAUAAGCACCGGCUAACUUCGUG